AUUGAACGCUGGCGGCAUGCUUUACACAUGCAAGUCGAACGGUAACAGGCCGCAAGGUGCUGACGAGUGGCGAACGGGUGAGUAAUGCAUCGGAACGUGCCCAGUCGUGGGGGAUAACGCAGCGAAAGCUGCGCUAAUACCGCAUACGAUCUAUGGAUGAAAGCGGGGGACCGUAAGGUCUCGCGCGAUUGGAGCGGCCGAUGUCAGAUUAGGUAGUUGGUGGGGUAAAGGCUCACCAAGCCAACGAUCUGUAGCUGGUCUGAGAGGACGACCAGCCACACUGGGACUGAGACACGGCCCAGACUCCUACGGGAGGCAGCAGUGGGGAAUUUUGGACAAUGGGCGCAAGCCUGAUCCAGCAAUGCCGCGUGCAGGAAGAAGGCCUUCGGGUUGUAAACUGCUUUUGUACGGAACGAAAAGGCUCUGGUUAAUACCUGGGGCACAUGACGGUACCGUAAGAAUAAGCACCGGCUAACUACGUGCCAGCAGCCGCGGUAAUACGUAGGGUGCAAGCGUUAAUCGGAAUUACUGGGCGUAAAGCGUGCGCAGGCGGUUUUGUAAGACAGGCGUGAAAUCCCCGGGCUUAACCUGGGAAUUGCGUUUGUGACUGCAAGGCUGGAGUGCGGCAGAGGGGGAUGGAAAUUCCGCGUGUAGCAGUGAAAUGCGUAGAUAUGCGGAGGAACACCGAUGGCGAAGGCAAUCCCCUGGGCCUGCACUGACGCUCAUGCACGAAAGCGUGGGGGAGCAAACAGGAU
rnacentral:rRNA from 1 species